rnacentral:rRNA from 1 species
UACAUGCAAGUCGAACGCUCUCGACCUUCGGGUCACAUGAGAGAGUGGCGAACGGGUGCGUAACACGUGAGAAACCUGCCCCAAAGACGGGAAUAGCCCGAGGAAACUCGGAUUAAUACCCGAUACCUUCACAAUGUCGCAUGGCAAUGUGAAGAAAGUUCAGGCGCUUUGGGAGGGUCUCGCGGCCUAUCAGCUUGUUGGUGAGGUAAUGGCUCACCAAGGCAUCGACGGGUAGCUGGUCUGAGAGGACGAUCAGCCACACUGGGACUGAGACACGGCCCAGACUCCUACGGGAGGCAGCAGUAGGGAAUCUUGCGCAAUGGGCGAAAGCCUGACGCAGCAACGCCGCGUGGGGGAUGAAUGCCUUCGGGUUGUAAACCCCUUUCAGCAGGGACGAAAAUGACGGUACCUGCAGAAGAAGCUCCGGCCAACUACGUGCCAGCAGCCGCGGUAAUACGUAGGGAGCAAGCGUUGUCCGGAAUUAUUGGGCGUAAAGAGCUCGUAGGCGGUUCAGUAAGUCGGGUGUGAAAACUCAAGGCUCAACCUUGAGACGCCACUCGAUACUGCUGUGACUUGAGUCCGGUAGAGGAGUGUGGAAUUCCUGGUGUAGCGGUGAAAUGCGCAGAUAUCAGGAGGAACACCAGCGGCGAAGGCGGCACUCUGGGCCGGUACUGACGCUGAGGAGCGAAAGCAUGGGGAGCAAACAGGAUUAGAUACCCUGGUAGUCCAUGCCGUAAACGUUGGGCACUAGGUAUGGGAUCAUAUCAACGGAUUCCGUGCCGUAGCUAACGCAUUAAGUGCCCCGCCUGGGGAGUACGGCC